UAGACCUGACUCCGCCCACUUCUUCCCCAAAGUAGACCUGACUCCGCCCACUUCUCCCCCAAAGUAGACCUGACUCCGCCCACUUCUUCCCCAAAGUAGACAUGACUCCGCCCACUUCUUCCCCGAAGUAGACCUUGUGAGCAUCGUAGAUUUGCAUGUUUCGCUCUCUGAUCGGAUUGUCUGAAUUCACUAGUUGAGUGUCAAUCACAGAAAAAAAACAACAUUGAUGAAAAUAAAUUUUGAGAAUAUGUGAAUCCCUCGUCCGUUUCCCUGACCCCUGGCAAUGACAUAGACUGUGUAAAGGGCAAAGAUUUCAGCUUUGCCUGUUCCACUGAUAUGGAUUCAGCUAACAAAUAUGGAAACUCCAAUGUUCACACCAGUCUCAUACUUUUAAAUCCAUGACGGGAAGAGUGAACUUGCACACUUGGGAAAGGGUUGGGAAUCGGGACCUCAGUCUCAGGCACCUUAUUACCAGUUUGAUAUUUUGUCAUUGAUCCAAGUGGAUGAGGACAUGAUUGGGACAUAUGAAGAGAGACAGGAGGCUGCAGUAAUGUUGAGAUGCCAGUAGGAGGAGCUCUAGUCUAGAACACUGGAACCUUCAGUAGCACUUUGAUGGAGAUGAUGAGGAGUGAUGGGUCACAUCUUGUGAGGAAACACAUUAAGAAACCAUAUAGAACAGUCAACACUUUGUUGUGGAUCUGUAUUUAAAGAAAAGACUAUGUUGUAAAUGGGCUGCAUUUAGCCCCUUUAAAACAUGUAGGCCCACUCCUCAAAUGAAGAAAUGUAAAUAGCUAUGCAGUCUUUAGCAGUACAUCCAGUACAUCCCUUUCUGACAUGCUGUUGAUGCAUGUGAUUGUCUUAAAUCCCUGACUAGGCUACUUUCACAAUGUGUCAGUCACUAAAAUCACACUUCUUUCUAUGCACAGCUACGACAGUAAGUUGACUCACUGUACAAGACCUCUCCCCUUCACUCUACUGCAGGGUGGGAGAUGCAACAAUGGCCUUGAGAACAGCAGGAAGUGUGUUGGGUCUUUGUCUGGUCUGUAGCAGUGUUACUGGGUCAGGAUGGCAGGAGUGUGAAGUACAUCACUCAGAGUAUCUGUGUCUUGAAGGGGUCAACAGUAGAGCUGUCCUGCUGUUACACAUAUCCCAGUGGUACAGUCACAACAACCUUCUGUUUCACUACAAAUGAUGCUGAGGGGAAUCCUGUGACUCUGAGUGAUGAACCAGACUACACAGGUCAUGUGACGUACUGUAGCAACAAGAAGAAUAGCCACACCCUGACAAUCAGAGAUCUGAGAGAGUGUGACUCAGCUAUGUGCAAAGUGUCCAUCCUGACCCUAACUGGGACACACACACCACUGAAAAUGAGGACCAGACACUCUGGCAGUAGUGUGAAAAUCUCCCACAGUGACACGUUCACAUCUCUUCAGAGAGAUGCACUCUGUGUAUCAGACCAUCCAGGGAAGAGAACCACCAUAGAACCUGGAGGGAAGAGAACCACCACAGAACCUGGACUGAAGAGAACCACCACAGAACAUGGACUAAAGAGAACCACCACAGAACAUGGACUAAAGAGCUAUGGCCAUUUUGAAAUCAAUCAAAAGUUUUAAAAAAUGUGUUGUGAAGCUCAACAAAGUCACUUCCAGAUGAUUUGAACAUGAUGAGAGAAUGUUAAUAUGUGGAAUAUUAAUAUCAGUCCCGUGACUUGAAUGGGAUUUUUGUAAAUGUGGGAGUGUUCGACAUUGUAACCGACUUUAUAGGCAAGUCGAGAUCUACAAAUCACCUUGCAUGAUGAAUAACUACUCAAUAUUAUUUAUAGAUCAUUCAGUCAGUCACAAUUUACCCAUGAUACAUCAGUUUUGAUGCUCUCGAACACUGUCUGUGUGACUGCUGAAGGAAGCCUUCUCUGCAUAAGCUUCUUGGUCCCUGACAUAGAGUUGGAUAGAAGGUACAUCUUGACAUCUUUGUCAUGAUGUCUUCUGUGACAGAAUGAGCAGCACCAUUGAGGGCUAUUUCCAUAUUAAAGUAGUUAAUAUCUUCAACUUCCAUAAGUUUAAUAACAGUCGGUAUACGAACUGAAAUGGUGUAUUCAAUGUCUUAGCCGUGCUAAAACAGGCUUUGAAGCAAGUACGCACUCUACUCAACUCUAUUGUCCCUGACUGCUUCAAUGUUGUGUCAACCACAGACUUCAAACCUCACACUCAGUGUCUAUUUAUAUAGACUUCCAGUAAGUUAACUUACAACACAUCUCCCCUUCACUCUGUAAGUAUGCUGGACUAUAUCUUAAAAUAUGUUUAUUUUAUCAUUUGUUUGUUUCCAUGAACUUCUGUAUCCUGUUAUGUGCAUGGUGAUGCUAUUGUAAUGUAUGUUUAGUUUUUCUGUUAUGUACAGUAUACUCUGUAGAUGUAUUUCUGUGUAUUUAAUCUGAUACAGUAUUGUACAUGGGGUUACACAUAUAAUAUUUUUGCAUGGUAUUUUAAGGACUCUCAAAGCAAGAGAUUGUUGUGGAGACUUGUUUGAAAAUGACCUAAAGUAAGACUGAGAGCAACAGUGAUUAGGUGUAUGCUUCGUAAGAGCUUUAGGAGUAAUAUUAACAUGAGACACAGUGAUGGUGGG
ensembl:lncRNA